CACACCAUGUCUUCAUGGAGCUCAUGGGGCUUUGUGCACUGGGACAUUGUCAUGCUGGAUUAAUGUGAAGCACAAAAGUCUUGUGUUAAAAGGCAAAAGGCCGACGCUCACUCACGUGACCUGCUGCUUGAGGUAAACCAGGGAAUCACCCUUUAGUUCCUUCUCUAAAAUUCUCUGAUGGAAUUCACUUCCUUCUGCAAAAAAAUGCUCAGGAACCUGUUCAGCAACAUAGCACUGAGGCAUCUGACCUGUGACCCAUCCCCUCAUCACUACAACACACAUACACACAAGGUUUAUCUGUAUUAUCUUUUAGUCUCGUUGUAGCUCUGAGAAGAGUACCGUCGAACUCUCUACUGAACAGAACGUAAAAGUCAGACACAUCUCCAUCCAUGUAUUCUUAUAAUUAUAAAGUCGUCCACGCUGGUGGGAGUCAGGUGGUCACCCAUCACCAGAGGCAAGUAGUGGUCGAACCUGCUCCUCAGCCUUCUGUGGUGAUCCAAUCUCCAGCUCCAGCUUAUCAAGUCAUCCAGUCUCCAGCUCCAGCUGUUCAAGUCGUCCAGCCUCCAGCUCCAGCUUAUCAAGUCGUCCAGCCUCCAGCUCCAGCUGUUCAAGUCAUCCAGUCUCCAGCUCCAGCUUAUCAAGUCAUCCAGUCUCAACCUCCAGCUGUUCAUGUUGUCCAGUCUCCAUCUCCAGCUGUUCAUGUCGUCCAGAAUCCAGCUCCAGCUGUUCAUGUCGUCCAGUCUCCAUCUCCAGCUGUUCGAGUCAUCCAGUCUGUAGCUAAUGCCACGGUUUAUCGUCGUUAUUACUGAAGUCAUGCUCUGUGCCACUGAACCGAUCCAGGACAACGUGUACGACCCUCAACGCACUGCGAUGAAAACUCCAGCGGGAUUAUUUUUGCGGCAAAAUUCUUUCAGGAAAUAAAUAGCCUGUAUUUCUUAAUAAUAUUUCUUUAAUACAUUUCUUAUCUUUUUGUAUCCAUGGUGAUAUAUACUGUAUACUUGUACAUUUACAGCAGCACACUAAAUCAUGAUGUGUAUUACCGCAAAACCUACAGGGUCCACAGUGAGCAGGUUGCUGUCGGGUCAGAGUCGGAUAUGCAAAUGAUAAUAGGGCAGACGUGGGUGGGGCUAAUGCUCAUUUCAACCUCUUUCAACCGGUGUAUUACGACAACAUUAGACUCAAAUCGCGUUAAGACAGAUUUUGAUAACUUCAGGAACGUCUUCUCAAGGCUUUGGGAUAUUUUUAUGGUAUAAACAGCAGACUGAAGACACAAGAAGGAUAAACACAAACCUGUUUCUGAUUAAAGGCUGUUACUGGCUGCAGAAACUCCACAAUGUGAAUGGUAUUCAGGGCUUGAAGGUGUUAUGAAGGUGUCACGAGGCUAUAAACAUCUUACAAACCCUGACAUAAGCAGUAGAACUUUAUGAAGUGGAACAUGUUAUAAAGCAUUCAUAAUGUAUUGUAUACACAUAAUGAUUCAUGAACAGGCAUUUUACACUUAUAGCACAUGUACAAAAAACAAGCUCAGUGUUGUACACUGAAUUAUGAGUAUAAAUUAGAGCAUCUUUUUCUUAGUGUAAUAAUUAGAGAAUAAUGUUAGAAAACAAAUUUUAGUAAGACACAUUUAUGAAAAUGUAUUUAAAGUGAGAAAUAAAACAUUACUUUGACUUCGAGAGAAAUAAUUUUCCCGUUUCAUUUUUUUAAAUAUAUUCCACUUUUAUAAUAGUUACAUAAUACAGCUUAUGAGUUACUUUAUUCGACUAUACUGUUAGUCACUCUACGCUCUUUUAAACACUCGUUUAUCGCUGAGCAUCAAUACGUCAGUCUACAGUUCUGAUCUGGUUUGAUAUUGUUGUUUAUAACGUGUUAUUUUGCAUUAUACUGUUAAUAUUUCAUUUAAUGCAUUAUAAAUAUGGCUAUAAACUCAAAUUUUUUUUCAUAAAUGAUUAUGAACAUGUCAUGCAGGUUAUUACACAUAUAACAUACGCAGCCAGUCUAACGUCUGGGCACGUGAGAUUGAAUAUAUGUAUAAAUGUGCAUAUUUCUGUGUAUGUAUGUUGUUUUAACUCUCAUGUUUUAUUAAGCUCACAGUGACUCUGGUGGUUUGUGUAUAACCUUCCUUAUAUAUUAUAUAUAUGAUUAAAAAAAACAUUGUACUGAA